rnacentral:rRNA from 1 species
GACGAACGCUGGCGGCGCGCCUAACACAUGCAAGUCGAACGAGCGAGAGAGAGCUUGCUUUCUCGAGCGAGUGGCGAACGGGUGAGUAACGCGUGAGGAACCUGCCUCAAAGAGGGGGACAACAGUUGGAAACGACUGCUAAUACCGCAUAAGCCCACGGCUCGGCAUCGAGCAGAGGGAAAAGGAGCAAUCCGCUUUGAGAUGGCCUCGCGUCCGAUUAGCUAGUUGGUGAGGUAACGGCCCACCAAGGCAACGAUCGGUAGCCGGACUGAGAGGUUGAACGGCCACAUUGGGACUGAGACACGGCCCAGACUCCUACGGGAGGCAGCAGUGGGGAAUAUUGCACAAUGGGGGAAACCCUGAUGCAGCGACGCCGCGUGGAGGAAGAAGGUCUUCGGAUUGUAAACUCCUGUUGUUGAGGAAGAUAAUGACGGUACUCAACAAGGAAGUGACGGCUAACUACGUGCCAGCAGCCGCGGUAAAACGUAGGUCACAAGCGUUGUCCGGAA